UUGAUUAAUUCAAAUAUUUACUCAGACGCAAAGAUGCAGAGUUUGGGGGUCCACCGGGGGCCCCGGACCCACAAGGGGCCGGGUCGCCCCCGAGGCAACAGAGUCGGAAAACAUGGGGUUGGAGGUCGAGCCCGAAGGCCCUCACUCGGUAAUGAUCCCUCCGCAGGUUCACCUACGGAGA
rnacentral:misc_RNA from 1 species